ACCAAAAGUUAAUUUUCUGAUAAAGAAGAAUUCUAUUUACACCCAAGGCCAUUCUCUGGACACCCAGCCACAAAGCUUUUGUUAGAGUUUUUCAACUUUACCCCAACAAGAAAUUCUACCAGUAUAGAGAAAACACGGCAGCAUUUCAGGUGAACAUUUGCUUUCAGCUUCGGAAGGUAAGGGGGUUUGAUAAUUGCCGGAUUGAGAUAAAGAACUCGGACCCGAAGAUUGCGAUCUUGAGCAGGACCAGCAUGUGAAUGGACAGAAAGAAGCUGACAUCAAAUUCUUCUUGGAAGCACACUUUGGCCUGCUGGGAUCAUGCUAGACAUCAAGAAAUCAUUGUACAAAAAAUUAUCCAAGUGGUUACAAGAUAAAUCUUCUAUGGGAUUGGCACUGAUGUGCAAGUCAUACACUGGCAUUGGAGACCAUUUUGUGCAUAAUGUAAUGAGUGUAGCCAAGGAGUUGUUUGAGCUGCCUUAUGAAGUCAAAAGCAAAGCUUCU